CGGCAAUCUUGAUUCCAGCUUGUGCUUCUUCCAGUCCAGCACUUCUCAUGAUGUACUCUGUAUAUAAGUUAAAUAAGCAGAGUGACAAUAUACAGCCUUGGCGUACUCCUUUUCCUAUUUGGAACCAGUCUGUUGUUCCAGUUCCAGUUCUAACUGUUGCUUCCUGACCUGCAUAUAGGUUUACUUAUCACUUUUGUUUUCUCAGGUAUGACCUGCCUUUGUGCUUCCUUCUAACAGCUGGAAUGCUUUUUCUUAACAUGCUAUAGAGCUCUUGAGAUAGGAACUUUUGUCUUUCAUACGGGUUGUGGGUAUUUCCCCCAAUGUUCUGUUUGCCUUUAGAUUUUGUUUAUGAUAUCAUUUGACAUAGAAGUUUCAAAUAUUUAUCUCAUCUAAGAAGAGGUGGCAAGAAUACACAGAAGAACUGUACAAAAAAGAUCUCCAUGACCAUGAUAAUCACAAUGGUGUAAUCACUCAUCUAGAGCCAGACAUCCUGGAAUGUGAAGUCAAGUGGGCCUUAGAAAGCAUCACUACAAACAAAGCUAGUGAAGGUGAUGGAAUUCCAGUGGAGCUAUUUCAAAUCCUGAAAGAUGAUGCUGUGAAAGUGCUGCACUCACUAUGCCAGCAAAUUUGGAAAACUCAGCAGCGGCCACAGGACUGGAAAAGAUCAGUUUUCAUUCCAAUUCCAAAGAAAGGCAAUGCCAAAGAAUGCUCAAACUACCUCACAAUUGCACUCAUCUCACAUGCUAGUAAAGUAAUGCUCAAAAUUCUCCAAGCCAGACUUCAGCAAUACGUGAACUGUGAACUUCCUGAUGUUCAAGCUGGUUUUAGAAAAGGCAGAGGAACCAGAGAUCAAGUUGCCAACAUCCACUGGAUCAUGGAAAAAGCAAAAGAGUUCCAGAAAAACAUCUAUUUCUUCUUUAUUGACUAUGCCAAAGCCUUUGACUGUGUGGAUCACAAUAAACUGUGGAGAAUUCUGAAAGAGAUGGGUAUACCAGACCACCUGACCUACCUCUUAAGAAAUCUGUAUGCAGGUCAGGAAGCAAGAGUUAGAACUGGACAUGGAACAACAGACUGGUUCCAAAUAGGAAAAG
rnacentral:lncRNA from 1 species